CAACAUGUGCAUCUAAGUGGGAUCUAUCGAUCUUGAUGGAGAGUAGUCCUAUGAGAUUUGAGAAGCUGAGCCAAAAGUCUAUGACCAUAGCAGUGUGAUUGAUAGAAAAAAAUUUUAUUUGGAAUCACUAUUGGAUUUGAGCUGAACGAAUCUAUCAUAUGACUAAUGAUGAAGUUUGACAAUUUAUCCAUGAUCUGCCAUCU
rnacentral:lncRNA from 1 species